GACUCCGUAGCUCAGUUGGUAGAGCAACUGACUCUUAAUCAGUGGGUCGAGAGUUCGAGCCUCUCCGGGGUCACC
rnacentral:tRNA from 1 species